CAGCUACACAUGCAGUCGAGCGGUAGCACAGAGAGCUUGCUCUCGGGUGACGAGCGGCGGACGGGUGAGUAAUGUCUGGGAAACUGCCUGAUGGAGGGGGAUAACUACUGGAAACGGUAGCUAAUACCGCAUAAUGUCGCAAGACCAAAGAGGGGGACCUUCGGGCCUCUUGCCAUCAGAUGUGCCCAGAUGGGAUUAGCUAGUAGGUGGGGUAACGGCUCACCUAGGCGACGAUCCCUAGCUGGUCUGAGAGGAUGACCAGCCACACUGGAACUGAGACACGGUCCAGACUCCUACGGGAGGCAGCAGUGGGGAAUAUUGCACAAUGGGCGCAAGCCUGAUGCAGCCAUGCCGCGUGUAUGAAGAAGGCCUUCGGGUUGUAAAGUACUUUCAGCGGGGAGGAAGGUGUUGAGGUUAAUAACCUCAGCAAUUGACGUUACCCGCAGAAGAAGCACCGGCUAACUCCGUGCCAGCAGCCGCGGUAAUACGGAGGGUGCAAGCGUUAAUCGGAAUUACUGGGCGUAAAGCGCACGCAGGCGGUCUGUCAAGUCGGAUGUGAAAUCCCCGGGCUCAACCUGGGAACUGCAUUCGAAACUGGCAGGCUAGAGUCUUGUAGAGGGGGGUAGAAUUCCAGGUGUAGCGGUGAAAUGCGUAGAGAUCUGGAGGAAUACCGGUGGCGAAGGCGGCCCCCUGGACAAAGACUGACGCUCAGGUGCGAAAGCGUGGGGAGCAAACAGGAUUAGAUACCCUGGUAGUCCACGCCGUAAACGAUGUCGACUUGGAGGUUGUGCCCUUGAGGCGUGGCUUCCGGAGCUAACGCGUUAAGUCGACCGCCUGGGGAGUACGGCCGCAAGGUUAAAACUCAAAUGAAUUGACGGGGGCCCGCACAAGCGGUGGAGCAUGUGGUUUAAUUCGAUGCAACGCGAAGAACCUUACCUACUCUUGACAUCCAGAGAACUUUCCAGAGAUGGAUUGGUGCCUUCGGGAACUCUGAGACAGGUGCUGCAUGGCUGUCGUCAGCUCGUGUUGUGAAAUGUUGGGUUAAGUCCCGCAACGAGCGCAACCCUUAUCCUUUGUUGCCAGCGGUCCGGCCGGGAACUCAAAGGAGACUGCCAGUGAUAAACUGGAGGAAGGUGGGGAUGACGUCAAGUCAUCAUGGCCCUUACGAGUAGGGCUACACACGUGCUACAAUGGCGCAUACAAAGAGAAGCGACCUCGCGAGAGCAAGCGGACCUCAUAAAGUGCGUCGUAGUCCGGAUUGGAGUCUGCAACUCGACUCCAUGAAGUCGGAAUCGCUAGUAAUCGUAGAUCAGAAUGCUACGGUGAAUACGUUCCCGGGCCUUGUACACACCGCCCGUCACACCAUGGGAGUGGGUUGCAAAAGAAGUAGGUAGCUUAACCUUCGGGAGGGCGCUACCACGUUGAU
rnacentral:rRNA from 1 species